AGACCAAGCUAAGUCCUGAACGACGCAGUUGAAUUUACGCAGAAUGUGUAGUUUCUUUCUCUUUCUUGGUUAAAAAAAAACAAAAGAAUAGGCAGGACCUGGAGUGAACCAAAAACAAGCAGCUGGUGCGGGUCUCUUCUCUUUAUUCGAAGAAAUCUCGAUCAAAGCCCUCAAAACACACACACGAAACGAACUUUUUAAAUUAUCAUCUUUCACAGAUCUUAAAAUGGCUGGUAGAAACCGCAUUCCUCGUGAUGCCCAUAAUGGCAGGCGUGGUUUCCCACCUGAGAGACCUUUCAUUCGUGGCCCUCCUUUGCCACAUCCUCCUCCUCACCCUGCUUUGUUGGAGGAUGAACUUGAAAUACAGCACGCUGAAAUCCAUGGACUCCUGGUUGAUAAUCGUCGCUUGUUGGAAGAUCGAAUGGCUCUGCAGCAAGAGCUUGGUGCUGCCAAGGAAGAAAUUCAUCGUAUGAAUCUCAUCAUUGCCGAAAUUCGUAAUGAACAAGAAGUGCGCUCAAGGGAACUUAUUGAGAAAGGCUUGAAGCUGGAAGCUGAUCUUCGCGCAACUGAACCUUUGAAGAAUGAGUCUGUACAGCUCCGUGCAGAAGUUCAGAAACUGAAUAAUGUGAAGCAGGAUCUCCUUGGGCAAAUUCAGACCCUCAAACAAGAUCUUUCACGAUUGCAAGCUGAUAAUCAACAGAUUCCUCUUUUACAGGGUGAGAUUGAGGGCCUCCACCAGGAGCUGAUGCAUGCUAGAACUGCUGUUGAUUAUGAAAAGAAGGCAAACAUGGAGUUGGUGGAGCAGAGACAGGCAAUGGAGAAGAACAUGGUUUCCAUGGCACGUGAAGUUGAAAAGCUAAGGGCUGAACUUGCUAGUACUGAUGCUCGGCCUUGGGUUCCUGGUGGACCGUAUGGGAUGAAGUUCAGUAAUCCGGAGGCUAAUUUCCCAGCACCUUAUGGGGAUAGAUAUGGGGUUCACAUGGUUGGUGCUGACAAGGGUCCUUUAUAUGGACCUGGUCCUUCAUGGGACAAGCCUCGUGUGCCUCGUCGCUAGAUGGUUGGUUGUUAUUCAACUCAAGAAGGGCAAAGCUGUUCAUGUGACUGCUUCUUAUCCUGUCCAAUAUCUCAGUAGGCAAGAAGUGUCCUUCAUCUUUGUGUGGAUGCCACUGGUCUUUUAUCUGAAUACAUUGUGGAAAACUGGCUAUGAAAAGGCAGAAAAAGUCAGGUAUGCUCUAUCACUAUUGCCUUUCCUGGACUAGCCUCCCACCCCAUGAGGCAGCUUGAAACUGCUCCCACCCACUUGGAUCACUGAGGGAUUGCUGCAGAAACCAAAAAUCACAGUAGGUAGGUUUUUGUCUUUUGUUGUAUUUCUUUGAAAGAGGUUGUUUUGGCCUUCAGGACUACUUAAAAGAGAAAAAGGAUUACUAACAUGCUUCGUUUUUAAGGAGCAAUAAUAAUAGAAAACGGCAUUCUCAGUUCAACUCAGUUCACUUUGAACAAAUGGGAGUUAUUUUCAAAAUAACGUUUGUUGUAAA